GGUUUAGACAGAUGCCUUGCCUGGCAUAUUAUUUGCCUAUAACACAUCUAAUCAUGAAUCAUCGACACGCCUUUUGAGCUGAUGUAUGGUAGAAAAGCAAUACAAGCUUAUGAGGAUGAUGAUGAUUAUGAUAUAGAUCCCGACAAUUGAGGAGAAAGAUAGGGAAAACCAUUUUCAAAGGUUUGCAAGAUGCAAGACAUACAUAAUGUUGCCAUAGGAAAUAUUAAUCUUGCCCAACUCAAGCAGCAGAGUGAUUAUAGAAUCCGCAAUUCUGGGGAAAAUACUCCCUAUAAGAUAAAUGAUAAGGUGCUUAUCUGAAACAGCCGUCGAGCUGAUAGGGGGGAAAAAUGACACGGCCUUGGCUGGGCCUUUUUACAAUAUUUGGGAUUGGCAAAAGCAACGUAGAGCUAAUGAGUGCCUGUGGGAAACAGAUAAAAACCUGAGCAAAUAUUUGUAACAUAAACAUUAUGUUACAAGAAAAGAUGACACAAUUAAAGCUGGACAGAAAAAAGUUCUAAGGUUACCAAGUGAAAAGUUUCAUU